GCCAGCGCUGCGGUGGAAGCGUUGACAGCGCGGCUUGCCGCUGCGGAGGCCGGUGCGGCGCCGCUGAUUUCGGCGGUGCUGCCGCCCGCCGUCG
rnacentral:tRNA from 1 species